rnacentral:tRNA from 1 species
GGAGGUAUAGCUCAGUGGAAGAGCACAAGUUUAGCAUGCUUGAGGCCCUGGGUUCAAUCUCCAGUGCCUGGA